UGAGGAAUAUUGGUCAAUGGGGGCAAGCCUGAACCAGCCAUCCCGCGUGCAGGAAGACGGCGCUAUGCGUUGUAAACUGCUUUUCCAGGGAGAGAAACUUGCGCACGUGUUGCGCAAUUGACGGUACCCUGGGAAUAAGCAUCGGCUAACUCCGUGCCAGCAGCCGCGGUAAUACGGAGGAUACGAGCGUUGUCCGGAUUCAUUGGGUUUAAAGGGUGCGUAGGCGGACUAUUAAGUCAGUGGUGAAAUCCUGCAGCUUAACUGCAGAACUGCCAUUGAUACUGAUAGCCUUGAGUUUGGUUAAGGUAGGCGGAAUGUGUAAUGUAGCGGUGAAAUGCUUAGAUAUUACACAGAACACCAAUUGCGUAGGCAGCUUACUGAGCCGACACUGACGCUGAGGCACGAAAGCGUGGGGAUCGAACAG
rnacentral:rRNA from 1 species